UGGGAUUACAGGUGAGAUACUUUUCCCUCU
rnacentral:piRNA from 1 species